rnacentral:rRNA from 1 species
GACGAACGCUGGCGGCGUGCCUAAUACAUGCAAGUCGAGCGAGCUUGCCUAGAUGAAUUUGGUUCUUGCACCAGAUGAAACUAGAUACAAGCGAGCGGCGGACGGGUUAGUAACACGUGGGUAACCUGCCCAAGAGACUGGGAUAACACCUGGAAACAGAUGCUAAUACCGGAUAACAACACUAGACGCAUGUCUAGAGUUUAAAAGAUGGUUCUGCUAUCACUCUUGGAUGGACCUGCGGUGCAUUAGCUAGUUGGUAAGGCAACGGCUUACCAAGGCAAUGAUGCGUAGCCGGGCUGAGAGGAUGAUCAGCCACAUUGGAACUGAGACACGGCCCAAACUCCUACGGGAGGCAGCAGUAGGGAAUAUUGCACAAUGGACGCAAGUCUGAUGGAGCAACGCCGCGUGAGUGAAGAAGGGUUUCGGGUCGUAAAGCUCUGUUGGUAGUGAAGAAAGAUAGCGGUAGUAACUCGCGCUUAUUUGACGGUAAUCAAUUAGUAAGUAACGGCUAACUACGUG